GUAACGCAGCGCUACAAGCUGAGCUGGCAGGGCCACACUCUGUCCGGAGAGAACAGCUGGGGCGCAGUGGCGGCGGCAGCAGACACAAGCCAGUAGUUGUAGUUCAGUUACGUUGCCUCAGGAUAUGGGAGCGUUGAUCUGAUCAUCACACUGAGAAGUUAACAUGGAGCCUGACACCAGCACCCACCCCGAGACGCAGCACGAGUCUCCUCCACAGA